rnacentral:rRNA from 1 species
AUACGGGGGAUCCGAGCGUUAUCCGGAUUUAUUGGGUUUAAAGGGUGCGCAGGCGGCCAUUUAAGUCAGCGGUUAAAUCGUGGGGCUCAACCCCAUUCUGCCGUUGAUACUGGGUGGCUUGAUUGCGGUCGAGGUUGGCGGAAUUCGUUGUGUAGCGGUGAAAUGCAUAGAUAUGACGAAGAACACCGAUUGCGUAGGCAGCUGACCAGACCGCAAAUGACGCUCAUGCACGAAAGUGCGGGGAUCGAACAGGAUUAGAUACCCUGGUAGUCCGCACAGUAAACGAUGAAUACUUGUUUUCGGCGAUAUAAUGUCGGAGGCAAAGCGAAAGCGAUAAGUAUUCCACCUGGGGAGUACGCCGGCAACGGUGAAACUCAAAGGAAUUGACGGGG